AACGAACGCUGGCGGCAUGCCUAACACAUGCAAGUCGAACGAGACCUUCGGGUCGAGUGGCGCACGGGUGCGUAACGCGUGGGAACCUGCCCUUAGGUUCGGAAUAACUCCCCGAAAGGGGUCGUAAUCCCGGAUAAUGUCUUCGGACCAAAGAUUUAUCGCCUUUGGAUGGGCCCGCGUUGGAUUAGCUAGUUGGUAGGGUAAAAGCCUACCAAGGCGACGAUCCAUAGCUGGUCUGAGAGGAUGAUCAGCCACACUGGGACUGAGACACGGCCCAGACUCCUACGGGAGGCAGCAGUGGGGAAUAUUGGACAAUGGGCGAAAGCCUGAUCCAGCAAUGCCGCGUGAAUGAUGAAGGCCUUAGGGUUGUAAAGCUCUUUUACCCGGGAUGAUAAUGACAGUACCGGGAGAAUAAGCUCCGGCUAACUCCGUG
rnacentral:rRNA from 1 species